CAACCAUCAAGCCCUAGGCUUGUGUUGGAGCCCUGCGGCCGCCCGCAGCCUCCCAAAAGCAGUGGCGGGCUCGCUAUUACACCGAGUGCAGUAGUUUACUCUUCGCUCAGGGCGUGUAGCGGGUUCCGGCCGUGAAACCCCCUACUUCUUAA
rnacentral:misc_RNA from 1 species